rnacentral:tRNA from 2 species
ACCUGGCUAGCUCAGUUGGUAGAGCAUGAAACUCUUGAUCUCAGGGUCGUGAGUUCGAGCCCCACAUUGGGUG